UCUGUGCUCUGAUGUGUUUCUUUGUUUUCUGUCUGUGCCAUGUCUGAGUCCUUCAGACCGCCUGAGACUUGAAGAGCGAGACGUCCGCUAUGCUGGAACUCAGAAGAGAUUCACCUCCUCUGGUUUUUUAUUUUACUUUUACUUUACACACUUUUUUUAAAAUCUGCUCUUUGCUGUAGAAACUGAUGUGACUGUGUCAAAGCGUAACAAAGUGCUACGUGAGUAAUUUAUUCAGUUUAUAUAAACUUUUUUUUUGUAUCUUUUUCUUUUAGUCAGUGACUAAUAUUUGAUAUGCUGAUAUUUGGUGCAGCAGGUGACGUUUGUUUUUUGGACAAAAAUGUCUGCCUUUGUUUCUAAAGGCCUUCAAGUGUUUGUCAGGACUGAUGGGAAAUGUUUGUCAGUCAGUUUCGGGUGGAUCUCCUCCUCGCUUUGACUUUCAUCUGCUCUCAUUUCAAACUAACAGCCACGAGUUGAAUCCGACCACAGUGCUUAUUAACAUACACCAUUUAAACUGAGACGGAUGUUUAAGUCUUUUAUUGGUUCAUUUAGAUUUCAUCAACGGUCUUAACAAUAUAAGAUAUUCCUUUAUUGAAAUGUGUCACAGCAGCAGCAGGGAAAGAAUGAAAAUACAAUAAAAUAUAUAAAAAUAUUAAAAAAUAAAUACACUUUUACAAUAAAAAAGUGGAAUAUGGUCCAGAUGGAUAACUGGAUGUAUUUUUUAUUCUAUAUGUAUAUUAAAUACAAACCAAAAAAAAGGAAAAUCUUCAUAUUUAGGAAGCUUUAAACAGCAUAAGGAUUAUAAAUAGGGUAUAAUUUACAUUAAAUGUAAAACAUGAUGCAUUUUCUGUGAUACCAAACAGUUUCAGGGCUACAUGUUUUUGUUUUGUUAAAAAUUAGACAUUAAUGCAACAAUAAAUCAGUAUUUCUGGUUUCUGAUGGGAAUAACUUGAACAAGUUGAUUGGCAAAAUCUGUGAACAGCUUUUCUUAGUUUGUGUAUUUAAAUAUAAGAAUCAUAAUCCAUAUUUAUUAUGAAUUUAUUAUAUUAAAGUAUCAUUAUUAUGCUAAUUAGGGUUGAGUGAGUGUGAGUAUCAAACAUUACGUACACGUGGUGAAGAUUUAACUUCCUGUGAGUUGAGUUUGGAUGCAUCAGGUGAGGAGGAGGAGGAGGAGGAGGAGGAGGAGGAGACCACCUGAGACAUUUCGAUGCACCUUUAGAUUUCCGUGCUGCUCAGUGAUGGACUUUGUGCUGAGACAGCUGGCUCAGAAAAUAUCCAAACCAAGUCUGGGUUGCACCAGUGAGGAUAAAGGAGAUCCUGUAACAGUCAACAUUAAAAACAAAAAGGUUUUUCAAAUGUUUGUUCAGCCUGAAGAAUUCAUAACUCCCAAUGAAACUCCACAAGGUUCCUUCAUGUCUGAAAUCUCUACAUUUAGGUUGGAACUGGGUUUAAUUUAAGGUUUUGAAUUUGAGCUAAAAAGACUAAUCAAAGUAAUAGUUCAACAUUUUGAGAAACAGGUUUAAUUCCAGCUAGUUAGCUUAGCAUAAAGACUGGAAACGGGGGGAAACAGCUAGCCUGGAGGAUCAAAACGGUAACAAAAUGUGUCUAACAGCGCCUCUAAAGAUCACUAAUUCACACCUGAGAGCAAAGAAGUCGCUGCACUCGGCCUGAACGCUGUCCAACUGACUCCUUUAAAAGCACAAAUGAUCAGUUUCACCCUUCAGUGGGUGUAACCUGUUAAUCAGUGAGUGUUACAGGUGCUGGGAGGUGGAGUUUAUCUCCCCUGGAUGGAGCCAGGCUAGCUGUUUCCCCCUGCUUCUCAAACUGUUGAAUUAUUCCAUUAUAAGUACCUGCAGGCUCUGACUUUGUUUCCUGAAUAUCAACUAACCGAUGUGAAUCCUUGGUGGUGCAACCAUCUUCAGUGAGUUAUAGGCCUGUUGUUCUUUGCUAUAAAAUAUUUAAUGUUUUUAUGAGUAAGUUAUUCCAGUGUGUGUAGUUUCCAUUUAACAAUAUUAUUGGGACCAAAACUGGAGACCGGUGAGAGGACGAAGCUCAGAAUGAAUUUAUCUGUGACAGUCAGCACUUAAAGUAACGACACCAACAAUACGUCAUAUUUAUUCUAGAAAAGAUUAUAUAUACACACAUUUAUAUAUAUAGAAUUUAUUAUUUAAAGUGAUGGAGGCAUGGUUGGAUCAGCACAGUCGUUUUCUGUGCAGGUGAACAAACAACAACGGUGCACAGGAUGAAAAUAUCAUCAGACCUUACUGCCACUACGUUGAGGAUUAAACAGAACACAGUCGGGGUAUUUUUAACUGUUUGAGUUCAGCAUUAUAGAUAUACGAGUGUCACCAAACUAUACUGGGAAAUAAAUCUUCUGAGAGCAAUAGUGCUUGAAGAACUGCAGCCGUUAUGUGUGUGUGGGUAUCAGACAAUGUGUAAUUCAUUCAUAAAGUCAAAACAUACAAAAUCAGAUCAGUUUCUUAAAGGUUCUCACACAAAAACCUUAUUCAGAGACUAGUUUGCUAUAGGAAACACCUUGAAAUAGAUUAUUUCCAGGAUAUUUGGUCAUUUUAAAUCAACGUUCUUCUGAAAUAGUAUUUUCACUGAGAUCUUAGUUUUAAAGGAAACCUGGUAAACUGUAGUUUAAUCACCGGAGAUGUAAAGGUGGAACCCGUAAACGCUGAUAACCGACCUGUAACAGACCUGAGACACUUCAUAAUAAACCUGCAUCUUUAGAAAGAGAAACAAUGUGUAAACUAGGCUUAUCGCUAAAUUAUAUGACCGUUUGUGAGCAACUGCUGUCCUGUAUCGUCAAGAAAACUCCUGGAAAAUGUCCUGGAAAGUUCUUGGAAAAUCAUUUCUUAAAAACACACAGUUGUUAGGGGGUCUGCGUAUUUACAAAAUACUGUGACGUAUUUAUUGCAGAAUUAAAAUCGAUAUUUAUUCAGAUAUUUUGAUACCAAAAGGCUGUAAAAUAUGGCGAGCUCUUAUUUUGAAAUGUGUUGUGAGGGAUUCAUUCUAAUGCUGAAAUCAAACAGUUAAAACCUCAACCAGGUACAAGACAUUUAAUCCAACUGUUAUUUGGUUUAAAGCUUUACACCAAAACUGACAGAUCAGUCUCAUCAUAAAGUUUAAACAUUAUUUACUGUAACGUCAUUUCGACAUCACGUUAAACUGAAGAAAGUCCUGAUCCUUCAAAAACAACUAAAAUAGAAAAAAGAAGACAUUUUAUUCUCUGUUGCUGCUCGGUUGAAGAGUUAAAGUCAUUUUAUGUGUGAAAUGUAUUUUUCAUAUGACGAGUGCGUCGAUGUAAAUCAGUAUUUUGUAAAAUCCUCACAGAUGAUGUACAGUUUGUAAGUUACCGACGGAGAAAGGUCCGGCUGUUUGGACGCUGUGCUGAGAACAGACGUCAUGUGACUGUUUCUUUUAGGAGGUUUUGAUGGUGUGAAACCUUCAGAUUCUGGAGGGAGAGAGUUUGUUCUUUUCAUACUUUUAAUUUUUGCCCUCACACUUUAAUGCUGUGUGUUUCUUUUGUUUCGAGAACCAACCUGUUGUUUGUCUUUCAACCAUUUCUGUCUUACUGACUGUUGGUUACUUUCUUGCUUUUCUUUAUUCUCUCUCUCUCUCUCUCUCUCUCUCUCUCUCUCUCUCUCUCGGGAGUAGUGCUGUGCCUUAGCUGUACUCCUGUUGUAGGAAAUCCUCUGAAAGCAUCAAAAAACGGUCUCAAAUGUUCAAAAACCAAAAAAAAAGAUAAUAAAAAGAGAAUUGUUGUGAAUGCCUUAUAAAUGACCUUAGUGGUUUUGAAGUACAACUUUUGAAAAUAAAAACAGAAUCUCCCUUUA